rnacentral:lncRNA from 1 species
AUAAAUUCUUUUGUUAAAAUUUUGUGAAAAUAAAGUUAUUAUUUGCAGUCAUUUAAGCUUAUCUACAUCUAAUUGUUUUUCCUAUUUUAUUUCUAAGUUCUCUGUCAACAGUUUAUUCUUUUCUCCUCUAGUGGCUUUGGGUGUACCACUGACAGAGAGUCUAUUGUUCAUCCUUCCUUAAUAGUAUGCAUAUUUUAAAGAUUCUGACCUGAUUUUUUAAUUUUAAAAUUUAUAACAUUGUCUAAUUAUAAAGCAAUGCAUAUUUAUUAUAGAAAGUUUGGAUGAUACACAGAAUCUAAAAAAAAUAAAAAAUUAACUGUAAUCUAAUCAGCUAGAGAUAACCAUUGUUACCACAUUUUACUUCACACUUCUGCAGAUCAAGGGUGAACAAUUUACUACAGAAAACAGUAAUGCUAGAGAAUAGGAGGAAGUCAAGCAAAUCAACACAUCUACAGGACCCAUUCAUGUAACCCAUGGAGAUAAGGGGAGGGGCCAGCCUCUGCAAAUGAGAUGGAUCUAUUCUUGUUACUGGGAAGAGAGGGAAAGCUUUUCCAUCAUCUCAUGGCCUUUCUAUUCCCAAAACACAACAAUAUGGAAAGUGGACCAACUAGUAAACCUACAAUGGGCUCUAAGUGUUCAAGUGAAAGGAAAAGUCACAUGUCUUUCACUUUAAAUGAAAAACUAGAAAUGAUUAAACUUAGUGAGGAAGGCAUGUUGAUAAUCAAGACAGGCUGAAAGCUAGGCCUCUUGUAUGAAACAGCCAAGUUGUAAACACAAAGGAAAAUUCUUAAAGAAAAUUAAAAAUGCUACUCCAGUGAACACACUAAUAAUAAUAAAGCAAAACAGCCUUAUUUUUGUAUGGAGAAUGUUUGAGUGGCCUGGAUAGAAGAUCCAACCAGCCAUAAGAUUUCCUUAAGCCAAUGCCUAAGUCAGAGCAAGACCUUAACUCUGUUCAAUACUAUGAAAACUGAGCAGUGAGGAAGUUGCAGGACAAAAGUUAGAAACUAGGAGAUGUUAACUCAUGACAUGUAAGGAAAGAAGUUGUCUCCAUGACAUAAAAGCACAAGUUGAAGCAGCAAAUGCUGAUGUAAAAGCUGCAGCAGGUUAUCCAGAGAUCUAGCUAAGUUAGUUGAUGAAAGUGGCUACACUAAACAACAGAUUUUCAACAUAUACAAAACAGUCCUCUAUGGGAAGUAGAUGCCAUCUAGGAUUUUCAUAGCUAGAGAAGAGAAGUCAAUGCCUAGCUUCAAAGGACAGGCUGACUCUCUUGUUAGGACCUAAUACAGCUGGUGUCUAAGUGGAGCCAAUGCUUGUUUACCAUUCUGAAAAUGCUAGGGUCCUUAAAUCUACUCUGCUCUAUC